GGGAGCCCGGAGAUGGGCACUGAGACAAGGGCCCAGGCCCUACGGGGCGCAGCAGUCGCGAAAACUUUGCAAUACACGAAAGUGUGACGGGGCUACCCCGAGUGCUCUCUGCUGAGGAAAGCUUUUCUCUGGUGUAACAAGCCAGGGGAAUAAGGAGAGGGCAAGACUGGUGUCAGCCGCCGCGGUAAUACCAGCUCUCCGAGUGGUAGGGAUGUUUAUUGGGCUUAAAGCGUCCGUAGCCGGCUUAGCAAGUCUCCUGUUAAAUUCAGCGACCUAAUCGUUGAGCCGCGGGAGAUACUACUAGGCUAGGAGGCGGGAGAGGUCGACGGUACUUCUGGGGUAGGGGUGAAAUCCUAUAAUCCCGGGAGGACCACCAGUGGCGAAGGCUGUCGACUAGAACGCGCUCGACGGUGAGGGACGAAAGCUGGGGGAGCGAACCGGAUUAGAUACCCGGGUAGUCCCAGCUGUAAACGAUGCGGGCUAGGUGUUGGGGUGGCUACGUGCCACUUCAGUGCCGCAGGGAAGCCAUUAAGCCCGCCGCCUGGG
rnacentral:rRNA from 1 species